rnacentral:tRNA from 1 species
GGUAAAAUGGCUGAGCAAUAGGCGAUAAACUGUAAAUUUAUUUAGGAGAAUUUCUCUUUUACCA